rnacentral:lncRNA from 1 species
GAUCCAAUUAUUGUCACAGUAUCAUCUGCAUUAUAUGAUAUGUUAUUAAAUCAAUAAUUGAGACGACAAAGUUAUUCAUAUUAUUAAAUUACAAUAUUUACAAUGUCUAGAAGUUCUGUCAAGGAGAGAUUUGGUCACCUAAUUGCGCGCCAAUAGGGAGAAAUUCUUAUUGGAAAGCCCCCUCUUUCCUGGGAACAACCUGGUUGUUAAAUAUUGUGAGUUAUAAU